AUCCAGCUGACGAGUCCUGAAUAGGACGAAGUGUCGCGCAUCCUGGAU
rfam:Schistosoma mansoni, Puerto Rico, WGS project CABG01000000 data, contig: 0163